AAGAUGGCGACCGGCGCACGGGUGAGUAACACGUAUCCAACCUGCCGAUAACUCCGGGAUAGCCUUUCGAAAGAAAGAUUAAUACCGGAUGGCAUACGAAUAUCGCAUGAUAUUUUUAUUAAAGAAUUCGGUUAUCGAUGGGGAUGCGUUCCAUUAGUUUGUUGGCGGGGUAACGGCCCACCAAGACUACGAUGGAUAGGGGUUCUGAGAGGAAGGUCCCCCACAUUGGAACUGAGACACGGUCCAA
rnacentral:rRNA from 1 species